UGCGUGUUGGCAUCAGGCUCCAGCAUGCUGGCGUCAGGCUCCUGUGUGCUGGCGUCAGCCUCCCGCGGGCUGCAGGGCUGCAGGGCUGCAGGCGUGGUGCACGGGUUUGUCUGGGCACAGCCAGCUGGCUGGCUGUUCCACCAGGUGGAAAAGGCAGCUCUGCGCCUCGCCUCUUGCCUGCUGGCUCUUCCCGACUCCUCUGGCUGUUUUGAGUGCGCCCCAGUGAGUGGAAACCACAGAGUGGUCAAGAGAUAAAUGUUGCAGAAACAGCAAAACAGUCUCGUGAAGAAAGAGCAGAGGCCUUUGGAGAUCUCUUCACAAGCAGAAGAGAAGGCCAUAGUACAUAGGUAGCCAAAUUUCUUCACUUAUCUGGGAGUUGCGCAGGUCCGGUCCCACGUUGUAGGCGCCAUUAUGUUGUU